UUGGGCUGUCAAAGGACUGGGCUGAAGCUGCUGGGCUGCUGAUCACUGGGCCUGACGCUGGACUGGGCUGGCCUGCUUCUUGUUGGGCUGCGCUGGGCUUGGUUUGGGCCUGCUUUGUUCUUUUUUGCUAUCCUGUUUUUUUUUGCUGUUUUUUUUUUUGGGCGUUUUGUUUUUUUUUUGGGGCUGCUGGGUGUUGGAUCGGGUCGGGUCGGUGCGGGUCGGAUCGGGUCAACCCGGAUGGGUUUAAAAAAUAUAUUUUUUUUUCUUUUUUUUUCCUUCCUUUGUUCUCUCUUUUUCUUCUUUUUUUCUUCCUUUUUUCCUUCCUCUUCGGGGCUGAACUCUAGCCCAACGCCGCCGCCGACGCCUCCUCCGUCCGGUGUUGCGGUGGCCGACACGACUCCCUUCUCCUCUCUUUCUCCCUUUCUUUCUUCUCUUCUUCCUUUUUGGUUGCUAUUUUUGCUUGCUGUUUUUCUUUCUUCUUUUUGUUUUUGCUUUGUGCUUUGCUUUGUAGGUGCAACGGUGGUUAGAAGAAUGCAAGGCACGGUGGUGGUGAAGGCGGUGGUCGGGAGAGCGCGACGGUGGUGCUAGAGGAGCCAUCAUGGCCUAGGGAGGCUCCUGGAGUAGCCCGGCUGGGGAGGGGUAGGCUCGGCAGUUGCUUGCGGCGAUUUGACAAGUCCAGAAAGACUAAAUUGCAUGGGAUGCAAAGUUUCUGGGGCAAAAGCGUAAUUUUAGCAAAAUAUGGGUUAAAAUGCAAUUUCUUGAGAGUUUAGGGGUCAAAGUGAAUUUUUGAGAAAGUCUAAGGGUCGAAAUGUAAUUUUAGAAAGUUUUGGGGUCAAAAUGUAAAUUUUAGAAAAGUUUGGGGUCAAAAUGUAAAUUUUGAAAA